rnacentral:rRNA from 1 species
UACAGAGGUCUCAACCGUUGUUCGGAUUCAUUGGGCGCAAAGGGUGCGUAGGCGGUCGUGUAAGUCGGAUGUGAAAUCCCGGGGCUCAACCCCGGAACUGCAUUCGAUACUGCAUGGCUAGGGUACUGGAGAGGAAACUGGAAUUUACGGUGUAGCAGUGAAAUGCGUAGAUAUCGUAAGGAAGACCAGUGGCGAAGGCGAGUUUCUGGACAGUUACCGACGCUGAGGCACGAAGGCCAGGGGAGCAAACGGG